rnacentral:lncRNA from 1 species
GAACGUGUACCAAUCCCUAAAUCCCCUUUUCUUACUUCACUUCUACUUCUCCUUCUCCAUUGUGAAAGAGAGAGAGAGAGAGGACACAUUCACUCGCACAUACCACGCCCACGCUGCCGCCGCUUCAGAGACUGGUUUGCGAUUGGUGUCCAGCUGAGGGAACCUGAGUUCGGAUUGAAACGGUGAGUUUUGUUAUGUUUUGUUUUUGUUUUGCGUGGGGUGUGGGAGUGUGAAAUUGGAAUAAAGUUUGUGUUUUUAUCGUUUAGUGGGGCGAGUUGAAUGCGGAGCCGUACGUUUUAUGAUCCGUAUUGAGAAGUUGCAAUGUGGAUUUAAGGUGAAAUGAAUCACUAUCGUGUGGAUUUUUUUAUUUUCCCGCUGGUUUGGUUUUUGAAGCCGAAAUGAAGCUUUGGUUUCAAUUUUUGUGAAUCUUUGUCUUGUGUGUGUUUUGGUUUAACAAAACACAUUGCAACUUGAAAAUGAAGAUUUUUUUUUUAAUUUUUUAAAUGGGGUUAGUUGAUUUUCAUCUAUUGAUAUUCCUGGAUUUGUGAAAAAAUAUUUUAAAUAUAUGCAUAAUCUGAAAUGGGUAUUUGCUUGCUUUAUUGGGGAGUUAUGUAAGAAGUGAAAUUCCUGAACUUUCAAGGGAAAAUGCAAUUUUGAUUUAUUAUAAGCGAAGUGAAGUUGUGAAUGAUACAUGAUACCUCACAAAAAAGUUGCUUGCUUCUUUUACUGCCUUCCAGUUCGGCUAAUAUAUCAGAUUCAGUCAAACAGAUUUUCUUGUUCAUCCAAGAGUUUGGUGAUUUAAAUUUAGAAUCUCUGUGUUGUAUUUGUGGUUUUGCUUUUGGAUGCUCAAGCUUCUGUUUUUGACAGAGUGCACAGACGUGAGUGCAUGCAUUUUAUCUGUGGAUUUGUCUUCAGUUUAAGUGUCCAUGCAGAUGGUUUGCACACUUUUGCCUGACUAUCUAAUUUUUAUGUAAUUCUGUAACAAUAUUGGAUAUAAUGUAAUAAAUUUAUACUGGAACUCCACCCCCUCACCUUCGGUUGUUAUGCCUUCUGUUGUUCUUGUGUGUGUGAGACUUGGGCAUUUUCAAUUUUGUGUGAUUGAGCUGUUAUGGAAUAGAAUCUCUGACCAUCAAGUAAAAGUGGUAAUUGUAUAACUGGCCAAAGUUAAAUCCUGAUAGUUCAGGAGAUAUAUACCCAAAAAAAAGGAGAUAUAUUUAUUAAAUAUUUAGUUGCAUGGCAGUGGGCACUAAUACUGAAGUUGGGGGAAAAACCAUGGUAUAGGGAGUAGGUUCUUUGACUUGCUUUUUGAGACAAUGCUAGCCUUUAGAAAAGUUUGAAAAAACAUAGCAUGCAGACCUGCCCAAUUAGUUCUUCCUUUCAAUAAUAGUAAUAAUAAACAAAGAAGAGGAUUUUAAUUAGGUUGCUGUUUCAGUAACUGGACUUCAAUUAGUUCUUCCUUUCAAUAAUAGUAAUAAUAAACAAAGAAGAGGAUUUUAAUUAGGUUGCUGUUUCAGUAACUGGACUUCAAACCUCAAACUCCACAUCAAUCCAUUUGAUUCUAUAAAUCUCCAGGCUUUGGUUUCCCGUUCAUUGACUCGUCUGCACAUUAGCAGGCACAUUAACGGAGAAAUAUUUUAAAAAAUCACAUUAGAUCUUGAAUUAGUUUUUCAUUAAACCCAAUUUUUGCUGAUGCCUAUAACUCAAAAAAUUUGAAGUGGUCCACUACUCUAAUAGGCUUUUCACCAUAGCCUAUUGGCCUGUGUUUUUAUUUUACCGUGUUACUGUCACUUUAAGCUGCACUUAUUUGCUGCUGUGUCUGCUGUUUUUGCUGUUUUUGCUGUUUCUAUUGUUAUUUGAUAUUUUUUUCCUGUUUUUGGGUAACUUUUUAUUUUUUCUGCUGUUAUUUGCUGUUGAUUCUGGUGUUUCUAAUGUUAUUUACUGCUGUUUAUACCGUUAUUUACUGCUGUUUUUUACUGUUUCUACUGGUAUUUUUUUACUGUUUUUGGUAACUUUUUAUUUUUUCUGCUGUUAUUCACUGCUGUUUCUGCUGUUUUUACUGAAUAAAUAUGUUAUUUGGUGUUUUUCUGCUGUUUUUGGGUAAUUUUUUCAGUGUUUUUACUUUUUUACUGUUUUUGUAACUUUUUAUUUUUUCUGCUCUUAUUUACCGUUGAGUCUGCUGUUUUUACUGUUAUUCACUGCUGUUUCUGCUGUUUUUGCUGUUAUUUACUGUUGUGAUUGUUGUUUUUAACUGGAGAAGUUUGUUAUUUGGUGUUUUUCUGCUGCUUUUGGGUAAUUUUUUUUUGCUGUUUUUGAUUUUUUUUAAAAUUGUUUUCACAGUUCAUAGGGAAAAAAAAAUUGAUUGUUAUGUUAACUUUUUUCGCAGAGAAGAGGAGGAUAGCUUAUCCCAAAAUUAGGGCAAAUUUCCCCUGAACACUCACAGCUGUUAGCAAGAGUAUCAGAGAAAGUUUCAAGUGAGUUUUAGGUGUUACAUUUAAAUCUGUUUUAAUUUCUCUAUAGGAUGUUAAAAUCAAUAUUUUUUUUUAGCUAGAGUAUUGGCCAAAGUUAAAGCUUCGGCACAAUCUCGAUGUGAUCACACAUGAAUUGAAAAUAGGAUCUAAAGAUUAACAAAGUUAGGUUUUAGCAAAUGUUACCAAAACGAAAAUAUCCUUAAUGACCAGACCACAAAAUGCACCCACAUAAAACAAAUAAGUAAUCUCGAUUCUAAAGAAACGGGAAAAAUCAGUCCCAUUGCUUAAGCUAACAACAGCAGUACAGCACCAUAAAUCAAUCCCAUUGCCUAAGCUAAUAACAGCAGUACAGCACUGUAAAUCAAUCCCAUUGCCUAAGCCAAUAACAGCAGCACACCCACACCUGUAAAACAAUAUCGUUUGUCUAAUUUUUCCCUAAAUAUGCUAAUAGCAAAAAGUUUAGACCCUAAUCUAUUAAAGUAUUAAUCACAACUCAAAAAAUAUUAAUGAAAAAUAAAUAAAAAUAAAACAAUGGAGUCAACAACUCACUGUCUCCAGUGCGAUUGCAACGGCUGAGUGAGGCUACGACAGCAACAGAUAGCGGUGAUGGCUGAGGCAACGAGCUGUUGAAUCAUGGUUACUGGCGUGAGCUAGCUAAGUUUGUGAAUCACGAUCACGAUCUAUCGUCUGCAGUGAGCUAGCAAAAGUAUCCCAAAUAAAAAAAAAUUGAAUCACGAUUGUCGGCGAAGGGCGUGUGAGUGACGGCAGUGGAGAGAAACUGAGAGUGAGUGAGACUAUAGUGAAAUGCAGUCGACACUGCCAUCACUCACACACCUUCCGCCGAUUCAAUGUUUUUGAUUUAGGAUACUUUGGCUAGCUCACUGCAGACGACAUAUAGUGAUCAUGAUUCAUAGACUUAGCUAGCUCGUCACCUCAGUCAUCGUCACCAACUGUUGCCAUCGCAGCCUCAUUUAGCCAUUGCCAUUGCUCCGGAACCAGUGAGUUGUUGACCCUGUUUUUUUAUUUAUUUUUUAUUAAUUUUUUUCCUUAAUUAUAUUUUUUUGAGUUGUGAUUAAUACUUUAAUAGAUGAGGGUUUAAAUCUUUUUGCUAUUAGCGUAUUUAGGGAAAAAUUAGACGAACGAUAUUGUUUUAUGUGGGUUUGCUGCUGUUAUUAGCUUAGGCAAUGGGAUUGAUUUAUGGUGCUGUUAUUAGCUUAAGCAAUUUUGGAUUGAUUUUUCCUGUUUUCUUAGAAUCGAGAUUACUUAUUUGUUUAUGUGGGUGCAUUUUGUGGUCUGGUCAUUGAGCAUAUUUUCAUUUUGGUAAUUUCUGUGCUGGAAAAUUGAAUUAUGCAAGUAUGCUUCUGCUUUUACGGAGUUCAAAUGAAAAAAAUUAAAUGGAGUUCAAUGAAAGAGUGAGUAGAUACCAAACGCUUAAUCUGCUGCACCUAAGAUCAAGCAUUUGGUAAACACUCACUUUUUCUUGAAUGCUAAUGUUUACUACACACCCACUUUCUUUUUAUAGCUAGAAAUUCCGUUCCACAGUAGCUGUGGGUUAGAAGCCACAUUGCCUCAAUCCCCUAACAUGCCCUGUAUUAAUUACAGUUUUACUAGUAAAUUAGGAUUAGCAAUUUGUACUGUUUGUUAAUGUAGCCAAUCAUACCAGUAAGAUAACAGAGUGUUUGAAUUGAGAUAAUGGAUGUUGAGAAGCAUGAGUCUAUGUUCUGUGUUAUCUAUUGCUGUAUAUGUGGGUUGGAUGAAAAUUGUUUGGUUGUUUCUCUAAUAUUUUAAAUUCUAAUAUCUUUAUUUAGUUUACAAGGAAUUUGCUAAUGAUUUAUCCAUGUUUGUUCUCAGGAAAUUUGUGCUAUAAGUUUACUUUAACCCGGAUGGAAGCCAAAUUUUUUCGGUUUUUGAAGAUUGUAGGUGUUGGCUACAAAGCCAGGGCUGAAGCAGAGGGGCGACUCUUAUAUCUCAAAUUGGGAUAUGUACAUGAUGUUGAACUCACUGUUCCCCCAGCUGUUCGCGUAUUCUGCCUAAAAAACAAUGUGGUUUGCUGCUGUGGACUUGACAAACACAGGGUGCACCAGUUUGCUGCUUCAGUUCGCAGUUGCAAGCCUCCUGAACCUUUCAAAGGCAAGGGUAUAAUGUACACUGAUGAAGUUAUCAAGAAAAAAGUUGGAAAGAAAAAAUCAAAAUGAUGGUGGAGAUGGUCUCUACUUUUUAGCAAUUCGGUUUUUUUUUUUUUGGUGCAUCUAUUCACUGCGCCAGCAAAUCUUCAUUUUGAAGUUGAAAAUAUUUGGAACCUUUCAAGGAUUUCGUAUUGAGAGCUUCCAAUAUCUGAACAACUUAGUUAAGAAAUCGGCGGAUUGUGAUGCUUUUGGAGGCUUUGUUAUAAAAAAAUGUUUGUUGAAAUUUCACCAUUGAAAAUUUCUUAUGCAAAUUCGACGUUGGCUUUAAAUGAUUUUUUUUCUCUGCAGUACAAUUUGUUUGCAAUAACGGUCUUGUGGACCACCUUAUGGACUAGAGUCUUGUAUUUGUUCCAAAUCCAACAUACAGAUGUUUUGAAUAUAAAUUGGAAAAGAAAAAGAAAAGAAGAUCAUAUCAAUUGGAUGAUUGUUUUUAUGAGAGUUCAUAAACAUCUAAUAUCAUCCAACCCAUGAAUGCUUUCAAAUUUGUGAAACAGUGUUUGGUCAACCUCGUUUUUAAGGCCUCAAUGCCUGAGACAGACAAGGGCUAAUAAAUGAUCUAAUGAAUCUACUGUAAAAUUAUGCAAAAGGACACAACUAAAAAUACCUCACAACAUCUUAUAUUUCUUAUAGCUCUUUGGCCCCAACAUCCCAUAUAUUUAAGACUAUACCUGUCAAAUACACAUAAUAUAUUCAUGGGAAUUAAAACUUUUUGGAGUGCUUCAAACUCUCAUCUCAUGUAAGCAUGCAUAUUUUUUAUCAUCAUGUCCAUAAGGAUGGACAAAACUGUACAUAAUAAGCCUAAAAUUUUACAAUAAAUUCAUUUCAUUUCAUCUCAUCUCAUUUCAAUUACCGUGUUCAAUUUUAUGUGGAUCUGAACAGAAAUCUUACUUUUGGUGAGUGGUGGUUUUGAUGUUGAAGCCAAGUCUACCAUCAUUUUAUUUUUAACUUCCUCCAAGCUUCCCUUCAUAUCCUCAAGCAACAAGAAUGGACCAAAAGCCUUGCUAGCAUUUACACGAGCCACCUGCCUUCCUGGCCAAAAUAUGCAAAUUAAGACUUGCAUUAAUCAAAAUAAGAAUAUUUUAACAAACUGUGACACUGGGGUUGGGAAGGGGGCAAUAUCUAAGAAAUAGUCAUUGCAUGUUUUUUUUUUCAAGUUCUUUUUUUUUUUAAUUAAAUAGGCAAAACAUAAUCCCAUAUAAAGCUAAUAAAGCAGUUCAUUUAGGGAAGAUGCAAAAGUUAAAAGGUGUCAAAAAGACCCUCACUAGGAGUCUAGGAUAUACCUCUGUUUACUUCAGAGGGGAAAAGCAGGCGAUGAGGGUAAGGUAACCUGUCCCUGUGGAGAAGAACUACUGCAUCAUAAUUGUUCAACGGUGUCCGGAAAAGGCACUACAAGUGGAAAAUAGCACUGCAGUAAUGCAUAUAAUCUGAAAACAAGGAGUGGAAUAACAUCUGACAAAAGUUUCUCACACACACCCCAUCUGCAAGAAUCAGUCUGAUCCUCUAGUAUGAGUUUAGUAAAUAAGUUCGCACGGCUUCGAGCAUAAGCUGCUAGCCUCUUUAGUUCCGUUACAUCGAGAUAGAUACAUGCCAAUGAGGUAGGCCAGGAGCACCACAAGUAAUAAGUCCACAUGUAUGCCACAUAAAUUUAUAAGUAUUGAGCAGCACGUAAGCAUAGGUUCUAAGAUUGAAGGAGUUUCACCAAGGUGACCACCCUUGGUGGAUAAUUUAAACAAGAACUCUGUAUAUUCAUUAGUUUGUCUUAAAUUACAAACCUAGAAGGUGGAUAAAAAAACGGAAGUACCUUUAUAGAGAACAGGGUUAUAUUCUCUUCCAUAUUUGCUACUUUAAAAUUGCGUAUUUAUUGUACAAAUUUACGGGGGAGAGGUCUUAUGGAACCAUACUUAAACUAAUAUUGAAACCAUACUUAAACCUUGACUUGGGUGUUUUAGUAUGGCGCAAAUAGUCGCACCCCUUGUUUUUCAUCUCUUUAUUAUUGAUGAGUUAGAUUAGGACCCUUAUACAGUGUAACCAUCUUAAACUUCCUUUGGUGCCGCUACUUACUUAAAAGUCAAAUCAUAAUUAAGAAGUAGUUAAUUAAGGUGAUUUUAUCUCACAGUUGUUUGAUGAAAAACUUCUAUUACCUUUACUUAAAAAAAAUAUUAUUUAAAAGUCAUAUAUAUCAAAUAUUAUUCAUCAAUACUUAACUCACAUUUAGAAUUUCUAUUUCACAGUAUUAAAAUACCAAACAGAUCCUUACACUUCAACGGCUCACUAUCAGUAUUGGGAAGACACAGGAUCUUCUUAUUAGGGGUAAAGCUCAAUAAGAGACCUCAGACCCAAAGUAGAAUUUACAUUGUAAUGGCUGAAACCAGCUUCUGAGAAGAGCUUCUUCCAUUCUUUGAUGCUCCGCUCUUUGGCCACACUGAAUAAAGACAUCAUCAACAUGUCACAGCACAAUUGUGUCUCGGUUGAGUCCUUGUCUAUGCUUUGAUCUUCUAUGACCAUGUCUAUGACAAUAACUUUCCCUCCUUUAUCUUUGCUCCCAUCAAUAGCUUCUUUGCACUUCUUCAAUAUCUUCACGCUCUCUUCAUCACCCCAGUUAUGCAGAACCCACUUCAUAGAUAUAUUUUGUCAUAUAAAUUUAAUUAACAAGUUAAAAAUCUUGGAAUUCUGUUAAUAUAUAAAAAAACAGUAAUACUAGAUCCAUAAACUCUUUGUGUAAAUUGAUGCAGUAUAACAAUGUUGAUUUGAUUUAAAAAAAAAAAAACUCCACAUGAUGCAUGUAAUUAAUUUUUAUUAAUAUUUUUUAUUUAGAUGAGUCUAUUUCAACUUAAGUUUUCUAUAAAAAAAAUUUCCCGAAAUUUGAGCCAUUGAUCUUAUACAAUACAAUGAGGGACAAAUUUUGACAUCAUUAAAUGCUAUUUUGACAUUUAAUAUAUCUAAAAUUGGAUUGUAUAAAAUAACUAAUUCAAAAUUUUGAGUAGAAAAUUCAAGCUAAAAUAGCCCACUCUAUUUUCUUCGACCAAAAUUGUUAUAUAUGCUGCAGCUAUUUGUAGAAUGAGGUUGUGACUCAAUAUCAGUAUUGAAACAUUAAUAUUUAAGUGGGAGAGAAAAUAGAAAUCCUAUUAUUAAUCAAUUUAAUUACCUUGAGUAGAACUGCAUCUGCUGGAGGUAUUGCUUCAAACAUGUCGCCUCCAAGAAAUUCCAGGUUCUUAUUAGUCCCCUGCUGCUGCUGCAAAUUAUUAUCAACGACAUGUGGGAGAUCGAAAACGAUGCAUUUCAUUUCAGGAAAAGCUUCUGCGAUGGCUUUGGCCAUAGUUCCAGUGCCGCCACCCAGAUCAACCAGACACUUCAGCCCCUUGAAUACCUCCUUACAAUCUUUAAUCAGAACGCUUGAUAUGAACUGAGAGUCAGCCAUCAUGGCAUCAUAAAAGACGUUUUUAAAUUUAGCUUCUUGAGCCAAACAACCCCAAAUGUCUUUCCCAUGCGUUGACUCAAACACUGUGGGCGUAGAGGGAUCAUCAUUCUUGAACCAAGAGCUCAAGAAAUUGAAGGGAGUCGUUAUUGUAGGAUGGGUUAUCAGAAACAUAAAUGGUGCAGCCCUCGAGGGCUCAUCCUUUAGGAGGAGUCGAGAAGCUAGUGUAAGAGAAUAAUACACUUCUGAUUCAUCUUUGUCGAUUUUAUUUUGUUGAGCAAAGAAGCCAGAGUGAACUAGAAUCCGCAUAAGGCGUUGAAUGCAAUGAGCUUUGUUUUUUUGGAUAUCGAGUGCCGAAGCUAUCUGUGAAAGAGUCAUGGGCUGGCCAUGUUUGUGAAUAACAUCUGGUAUGCCAAGUUCAACGGCACAUUUUAGUGACAUGGAAUUGAUGUAAUUGAAGGCACAAUUCCACACCUGUGCUUGAGCUUUAAGAAGCUCAGAGCUGCUGCUGCUGCUGCUGCUGCUGCUACUACUCUCUGCAUUAAUCAUAUGAUUCAUAUCCAUUUCAGGCUAUUCAAAGCUUGGCGAACCCUUUAAAGAUUCUUGAAUUAUCUGUCAGUAACAAGAAGCGAGCUUAAAUAUUGUCAACGUAGUAUAUGAAUUACCUCCAUUCUUUAAGGUGAUGUUUGGUUUGAAAAAAUGAGAGGAGAGGAGAGGAGAGUGGAGAUGAGGGGAUAAGAAAGGAGAUGAGGAGAGGGUGAAAUUAAAUCUAAUUGUUUGGUUUAACAUAGAAUUUUAAUGGGAAAGGAUAUUACAAAAAAAAAUUUGGACUAACUUACCCUUUACCUUACACCCUAGACUUCCAACGUUAGUUACAAAUAUAAUUUUAAAAAAAAUAUAUGAAUAAUUUAAUUUAAAAAUUAAACAACUAAAUAGCUAUUAGAUAAAAUAACUUGAAUAUUGUAUUUACAAUUAAUUUUUUUAAACCAAUUUAAGUAAUACCGUAUAACUAAUUAAAUAAUUUAAAUUAUUUUCCAAUAAAUUAUUUUUAAUAAAAAUAAUCAAUUUAAACCUCGCCGGAGAGCCGCCACAUUGCCGCCGCGAAAGCUGCCGAAAUAGAGUUUUUCGCCCUCAAAGUGACAUCAAAAUGAUCAGAAACUAAUGAUCUACUCAUUGAGAGAUAAAAUUAUCCAAAAAGUUUACAACGGUGCUGGAAAUUGUAGAGUUAAAAGUUUCUCAAAUGUUUACAAUGAGAUUUGAGCCCAAAAAAGAUAUCUAAUGUCGUUUUCAUUGCCCUGAGAUAGUAGAUCGGCUCUUGAAAAUUCGAUUGGCAUAAAAAUUGAUGAAGAAAUCACUUCGACAGAGGCAGUCCGGCGGCUUUCCGACGGCGGGAUGGCGGCGGUCUGUCGACGGCUGUUGCUGUUCUUUUAUAUUUAAUAAUUUCAAAUUAAUUAAAUAAUAGAUAUCUAUUAUCUAUUAAACUAUUUAAUAUGUUAUUUUAACUUACUUAAAGGAUAAUAUUGAACUUUUGUUUUAAAACUGGUAAGGAACUUAGACUCCUUACCCACUGGCCACUGGUGCAGAAUUAAAAUUCCUUAGUUUCAUAAAUUUUAAAUUCCUUUAGAAAUUAAUUUCUAGUGAACUAUGACCAACCAAACAAAAGAAAUCAUAAAAGAAGUUGAAUUCAUCUCUUUUCCACCCUUCUCUCCGGCCAAUCAAACGUCACUUAAGUUCCUGCCUAGAGGAAUUUUCAACUGCAGGCAUUAUAGAUUAGUCCCCUGAUUUACAAUUUUUUUUUUUAAACAAGGAAUUAUAUAAUAAUUUAUAAUUUGAACGACCUUGAUGCUUGGUACUCAGUACCCCCGUUUUAUGUAUUAAAAAAAAUUAGAUAUCAAUUUUAUCAGCACAUGGGUCAGCAGAUGGAUACAUUGAACCCAUUAAAAAUGCUCUUUAGAGAUAGUGAGAUACACGCUAUUUCUCGUAAAUCAUGACAUCCAUCACCCAAAUUUCAAAAAAUUCUGAUUUUUCUUUAAACACCCCUCUGAGUUUCAAUAAUAACCCUUGUUGUUUUCGAGAUUAAUCUGAUAUUAAAUCUAUUGAGUUGACGAAGCUAUUCAAAUUUGAUCCCAUGCCACACAAUUUUUCCUCCUAUCUAUUUUAUAGGGAUGUUUACUAAUAUUUAUAUAAGACAAUUGAUAAAUUUACUAUCUUCAAAUCACUCUUCUUAUUUUUAAAAAAUCUCAAUUUACUCCUCAUUUUUGUUAAGGAAAAAAAAAAAUCAUCAACUCACCCAUUUUUUCUUUAUCUUUUAUACAAAAAUAAGAGUAACUUGAGAUUUUCAAAAGUUAGAAGAUGAUUUGAAGAUGAUCAAUUCAUAAUUGAGAUAAUUCAAAAUUUAUUCUUUUUAUAAACAUGAUUACUUGAAUGGGUGCAGAAACCGAUCUCGUAAUUCUAACCAAGUGAUUUUUAAAUAAUUUUAUUUUGCUACCCACACAAAUUCAAAUUUUAAGAGAAAUAAAAAAUUAAAUAAAUCUAAUUAAACUUUGUCCAUCCUAUUAAAAAAAUAAAUAAAUAAAAUCGGUCAAGAAGCUUAGCAGCAUCUUCGCUUAAUAAGAAGAAAAAAGAAAAAAAAAAAUUACAUCAGCAUAUGUGUCAGCAAAAAUGACCCACGUAGGGUCCAAUCCAAUAUAGAAAAUUCUUUAUUACUUAUGCCCGACCGACAUGGCGGAAUGAUUUUUUGAAUAGGUUUCAAAAGCUUUAUUUAGUUAGUUAAUUGAGCUUGAGUCUUGUGAGAUAGAGAGUUGAAAAUUGAUGCGGAUUUUGUCCAUUUAUUUACUUUUAAAACUAAAUAAUAAUUAAUUUGACAAUUUUAUUACAUUUUUUUUUGGUUAAAAGUACUUAAUCAUGUUUGCCCCAAAAAAAUUAAUCAAGUAAUUUUAAACAGUUUUAUUUAUACGGCAUCCCUGUUUAAAUCUUAAAGUUAUAACAUAAAAUUGAUUUUUUUUAUAGGUAUUAUUCAAGUCAAACUUCUCAGUAAAUCAGUCUAUUAAUGUACAAUAAGUAUUUAUUUAAAUUCAAAUUAUCGAUUGUAAUGCAAUGAUUAGGAUAAUGAUUUCUUUUUUGUGCAUUAAAUAUUUGAUUUAAUGUAAGAAUAUCGUUUUCUACUAUCAUUGCCAUUGUUUUGAUAAAUCCUAUUCAUAACCUUGCUUGAAAUUUAAACCAUUGAUAAAACUAACAUUUCACUGUAAACGCAUUAGGAAAAAAAAAGAAGUAUUUGAAUUGCAAACGGCUAGCUGAAUGGAAUACAUCCGCUACCAAGUCAAUAAUUAAAUCCCUCUCUUUCCCCUUUUUUGGGAAAAUGUUGGAAACUUGGAACACUCUCCAUAGGAGUGAGAUAGGAAACUUGGAAAUUUUUUCACUUUAUGUGUACACGGAGAUCCUUUGGUUCAUUUCUUCUAUUUGAGAGAUUAUCUAAAUUCAAUUACAAUGUAGUGUGUUUUUCUCCGUUACAAUUUUUUGACAUCCUAGAUGAAAAUCGAAUAUUAAAAAUUUUCUAGAGACCUAAUUAUGUAUGUAGGACAUAUAGUAUAUAUAGGAGGGACCAAAUUAUCAUUCACAUACCUGCUAAAACAUAUAAAGAGUACAUAAUGCUUUCUUUUUAUUUAUUUCACAAAAUUUCCAUUUCUUUAGCACACUCGCAAUUAUUACAACUUGGGUUCUUAUUUUGUAACUAAUAUAUUAGGUAAGUUACAACCCACCGGAGAAUCCAAGUAAAAUGAAGCUUAUUACAACAAUACAUAAAUAAGCAUUUGAUAUUCACUUAAAAGAUAUAAUGAUAGGUAAUGUUUAAUUUAAAUUUUAACUCUUAUAUUUUUUUGGAUUCAAAUUUAGAUGGCCUUCUAAAUAAAAUUACUUUGAAACUACUCGAUCUGACCCUAGGGCCAAGAAACAAAUUUUAAGGAUAAACCUCAAUAAGAGAUCUUAAACCUAAAAUGGAGGUAAUUUUAUAGUCACUAAAACCAGCAUCGGCAAAAAGCUUGGCCCAUUCUUUCUCAUCUCGUUCUGUUCCGGUGGCCAAGACCAUCAUCAACAUAUCAAAAAAGAGUUGUGUUUCAAUAGACUCAUCAUGCCCUUUUUCAUUCUCUCUCACCAUGUCAAUUAUAAUCACCUUCCCUAUCUUGCCAUCGCUCGUAAUUGCUUCCUUACAUUUCUUAAGAAUCUUCACGCAUUCCUCAUCAUUCCAGUCAUGCAAUAUCCACUGCUUGUCAUCACCAAUAAUAUUAGAAUUUAAAAUAUUUGAAGAUUCAGAAUGGAAAAUAAAAUGAGUAUAUGAUGUACAUAAGUAAUUCGAGAUCCUUCUAGUAUAUAUAUUAAUUUUAUGCUCAAGAAACCACUUUAGUUAAACUAUAAAAAUUAAUACGCGUACCUUGAGUACAACAGCAUCAGCUGGGGGAAUGGCCUCAAACAUGUCCCCUCCAACAUAAUUGAGAUUGGCCAAAUCGCUUUCGAGGCCAUUAACCACAUGCGGCAGAUCAAAAUCAGUGCAUUCCAAAUUUGGAAACGCUUUAGCUAUGGCCUUGGCCACAGUUCCCGUGGCCCCACCCACAUCCACUAACGAAUUCAAACCUUCGAACACAUCCUUACACUUAUGUAUCACCACUCUUGUUGCCAACCGCGCAUCACUUGCCAUGGCUUCAUUGAAGAAAUUGUUAAUCUUUGGCUCGUCCCCAGCAUACUCCCAAAAACUCUUCCCAUGUACCAUAUCAAACGGCGCAGGAUCGUCGCUUUGAAACCAAGUGCUCAGUUUCAGCCACGGUGAUAGCAAAAUAGGAUCUAGCACGGCUUGCAAGAGAGGUGUCACGCUUAAGGGGCUGUCUUUUAGGAGGAGUUUAGAAGCAUUUGUGAGAACAUAACCUUGUUCUUCGUCAUUGCUAUUUAGCGUUUGCUGUGUAAAGAAGCCUGAGUGGAUCAGAAUGCGCAUCAAGCGAUACACACAUCGGGUUUUUGAUGGGUUUAUUGUUAAGGCACUAACAAGCUCGUUGAGGGUCAUGGGUUUGCCAUGUUUGUUGAUAAUAUCUGGUAUGCCUAAUUCAACAGCGCAUUUAAGUGACAUGGAGUUUAUGAAAUUGAAAAUGUGAUUCCAAACAUGAGCUUGAGCUUCAAGUAGCUUAGUAUCAUGCUCUCCAUCGAUCAAAUUCAUCUUUAUUAGGCUGAGUAGGGUUAAUUGAUAUUUGAUGCAAAUCAAUGAGUUUGAGCUCUAUAUAUAAUAGCGAAAGAGUCAUAUGUAAUAUUAGACCCCAUUUGGUGUUAAAAGUGUUGUUUUUAAUUUAAGCUCUAUGGAAAAAAAAUUAUAAUUGUUAAAUAAAAAUUGAUGGUGUAAGAUAAAUAUGAUUGCUAAAUAAUAAUUUUAACAAAAAUAAUAUAGAUGUAUAGGUUUUCCAUCACACAAGUGUCGAGAAAAUUAACUCAGCUUUCAAAUUACAACAACAAAUGUUUACCAAAUACUUUAAAGAUGCAGUACCAAAUUAUAACCACGCGCCUAACUAUAAUACCAAACAAACACAUAAUAUGUGUACACAAUAAUUUUCUGUCAUGGCAUCCAAAAAAAAAAAGUGUUGGAGUAAAAAACGUUUCUCUAAAUGCAUCUAAUUGUUAACUAAUUAAUAAUUUGCUAAGGGUUAAAUUCAAAGAAAAAGAUAGGGAUCAUAGAGGUUGUGACAAAAAUUAUUAUGAAAAAUUAAUUUUUUAUUACCACGUGAUUCAUGACGUUGAUGAUAUAAUUAUUGCAAGAUCUGCUAAAUCUUCUUAGCCACUAGGCUCCUAGUGGUUAGAACCCAAGCUUCACAAUUGUGAAGUCAUGGAUUUGAGCAUCCACAACCCAUUGUGGAGGUUUAUUUUUUUUCUUAAUUUGUGUAAAAACAGUCUUUUUUUUUUCGAAAUGUGAGUGGAGUGUGUGUCCCUAAAAUAUUAGAGAGGAUUAAAAUAUGGGUUGUGGAACAUAAGAUUUGUAAAUUAGUCCCAAAAAUUGUCAGAUUUAUAAAUUAAUCUCAGUAAUUGUCUAAUUGUAAAUAGCAUAUUAAUCUCAUUAAAUGUGAGUUGUAAUCUGAGCAUGAGUCUCAUGUAAUUAAAAAAAAAGAUCUAUUAAAUCUUCUUAUCUAAAUAAUAAAAUUAAUUUAAAUGACCCACUUAGAAAAUUAAUUCUGUUAAUAUCUGGCAUGCCUAAUCAUCGAAAAAAUAUGCAACACACAGUUUGGUGUAAGGCAUUAUCUAUUCCACCCAAGAAGUCUAAGGACAAGAACCUAAUUGGAGAGAGAAAUAUCAUCUUAACUAUAAAUGCUUUCGCAAUUAGGCUACAAAGAGAAUCACGUGAAGUGAAGUAAUAUUGACUAUUGAGUGUUUCGUUAAUUAAAAAUACGAACGGAUACCAAAUCUGAAGUGCUGUAACUUAAGUUACAAUUGCUGUAAAAAAAAUUAUAAUUAUGAAAUAAAAGUUAAUAUUAUAAAAAUAUAAAUUUUUAAAUAAUAAUUUUGAUAAAAUUAAGGAAUAUAUAAUAGAUUUUUUAUCAUACAUGUGUAACAUUAAAUCAAUUUAGCUUCCAAGUACAACAGGUAGUAUUUAUCAAAAACACAUUAGUGGUGUAAUUUUAAGUUAUAGCCGUCCAAUCUCAAUUUUAAACAGGCCUUAAGUAAACCAACUCUGUAAUUGUAAUCUUGCUGAUUUUGAGGUGAUAUUAAAUAAUUUGUGUUAGCUUUGUCCCAUGCCGUACAUAUGAACAACGAUCACUUGCACUUUCUAAAUAUAUCGGCCAACAUGUUUUUGUUAAUUGCAAGAAACUUCUUGUUUCCUUAUUUUACUUAAAGUCUGCAUCAUACAAUUCUCUCCGGUAAUAAAAUUUUCGGUGAAUUAGAACUUUCGAUAUAAUUCUUAUCCCUGAGCCUUGACAUGUUAUGAUUUGAGGCAUUUUGUUCAAUUUUUUUAAUCAAUUACUUUUUUUUUUUGAAAAUUCAAACUCAAGUAAGUAAUUAAAUAAAAAUUAUUAAAAAAAUCCAGCAACUUCUUCUUGUUGAUCACGCUGAAGUGGCUACUGAUCAUAUGAUUUGGACUUGACUAGCUUACAGAAUCUGUAAGCUACAGACUGCAGCAUCAGCCGUUGGAUGUGGUUGGAUGUGGAGUGAGAAACUAAACAAUAGAAGAUCGGAUGGUGGGAUGACGGGAGAUGUUUGUUACAGAAUCUGUACCAUAGACAGGUCCCAUAUGAUUUAUAUCAAACAGUGAUUUUCAAUGAUGAAGGUAUUUAUAUUACUUCUCUUUUUUUGGGAAAAUGAUAUUUAUUAAUUAAGAUACUAUUAGAACACUAGUCACAUGGGCAGGGUCAGAGUCAUCAUAUUAAUUGAUUGGGGGUUUAUUCAACGAUAAUAUAAAAAAAUUUAAAAAGUAAUAAAUAUAUAAAUAUGAAAUAUUUUUUAUACUUCAAAAUAUGUUUACAAAAGUCAUUUUCAAGUUUUCAUACAUUGAUAACGUUGCAUUACAAUUUCAUUAUCAAUAUCAUUAAAUAAGUCUUUUUCUAUGUAAACAACCAAACUAUCAUUCAUCCAUUGCUCUCUCAUUUGGUUUCGUAACCAAUUCUUCAAAAUAUUCAUGGCUGAAAAUUAAUAUUUAUGUUUAAAAUUUUAAUUAAUAUUGAUGUUUUUGGGCUUGAUUUUAGUUUGCAAAGCCCAUCUCUUUUGAUUUGUUUUAAAAAUUUGGAGUGUGCGAAUUUAAAUUUAAAUAUGUAUUAGGGACUUGAAUAUAAAUUAUUAGGGACUUAAGAAAAAAUUAUUAGGAAUUUUAGAUUAAUUAAAUUAACUAUUAAAAAAAAAUAUUUCAGUGGGGACUUAACUCGCCAUUGGUCCCAAGGGAAAUCCGCUCUUGCACAUGGGAAACAUUAAUAAUUGUCCCUCAACUAUGAGCUGUAAACUCGUAUAUGUCGGACACUAAUUCACUAUUGUUCGGUCAAAUAUGAAGUUUGUGGGGGUGGUGUGGGAUGGAUACCAGUAGCUGUGAUGAAAAGGCACGUUCAUCUUCCCUUUCUUGCCGAUUGGUUAAUUGUGCACAAUAAACAUGCUUUUCAUGACAUUGGAUUUAGGCUUGGGUGAAUUGUCGUACUACUUUAAGGGUCCAUUUGAGAUUGAGGUAUUGAGGUUGGGUAACUGGUUCUUAAAAGUUACAGUAUUAAAUUAUUUAAUAAACACUAUAUAUUGUAGUUUGGAAGUUAUAUUCAUAUAAUUUUUCACUUAUAUAAUGAAAAAUCUAUUAUAUCUUUAAUAUUUUUUGUUAAAAUUAUUAUUUAAAUUUUAUAUUUACUACAUACUGUUAACUUUUGUUUCAUGGUUAUAGGUUUUUUUUCACAACAGUUGUAUUAUAAAAAUUACAACAUCUCAAUUCUAAAUAAGAUCUGAAUUGAUGAUUAAUAUGAGGUGUCUAUACUCUACACUCAUUCAUAACGAAUGAAAGUGAAGGUAGAGUUCUUAAAAGAUUGCCUAGAGAUAAUGGGGGCGAAUCGGACAACUCCCAUUUGUAACGAAGAUGCUUUGAAUCACAUGAGUAAUCCAAAUUCUUAGCUUUUUUUCUUUUAAAAAAUAAUUAAAUGAAUAAAUUUCGCUUAUUAAAUAAUUAAAUUAAAAAUUACAGCAUUAAUAUCGUGAUAAACAUAAAUAUUAUAAAUUAUACAUAAAAUUAAUAAAUUCAUACAAGAUUAUUAAUUAUUUAAAAAAUUAACAUUGUUUCUAUAGAAUUCUAAUGAAAAAUAUUUUAUUCAUUUACAAAAAAAAAAUACUAGUUUUAAACGAAAGAAAAUUACUGAUUAAUUAAAAAAAAUUAUAUGAAAAUUGUUAUCUAUUGCUAUAUAUUUGGGUUGGAUGAAAAUUGUUUGGUUGUUUCUCUAAUAUUUUAAAUUCUAAUAUCUUUAUUUAGUUUACAAGGAAUUUGCUAAUGAUUUAUCCCUGUUUGUUCUCAGGAAAUUUAUGCGAUAAGUUUACUUUAACCCGGAUGGAAGCCAAAUUUUUACGGUUUUUGAAGAUUGUAGGUGUUGGCUACAAAGCCAGGGCCGAAG